rnacentral:rRNA from 1 species
AGUUAAGUGAUGUAAGCGUAUACGACGGAUGCCUUGGCAGUCAAAGGCGAUGAAGGACGUGCUAAUCUGCGAAAAGUUCCGGUAAGUCGAUAUGAGGCGUUAUAACCGGUAAUAUCCGAAUGGGGAAACCUAAUACACAAAGUAUUAUCAUUAGGUGAAUUUAUAGCUUAAUGAAGCGAACCAGGGGAAUUGAAACAUCUUAGUAUCCUGAGGAAAAGAAAUCAAUUGAGAUUCUCUUAGUAGCGGCGAGCGAACAGGGAAAAGCCUAGAGUUAUUUUGCGAUCUGUAUAAUUAAAAGAACAGUCUGGAAAGUCUGGCGAUAUAAGGGUGAUAGCCCCGUAUUUGAAAAUAUAUAGUUUUGUAUAACUCGAGAAGUAAAACGGGACACGUGAUAUCUUGUUUGAAGAUGGGGGGACCAUCCUCCAAGGCUAAAUACUCUUGACUGACCGAUAGUGAACUAGUACCGUGAGGGAAAGGUGAAAAGAACCCCGGCUAGGGGAGUGAAAUAGAACCUGAAAUCGUAUACGUACAAGCAGUAGAAGCAUUAUAUAAAUGAUGUAACUGCGUACCUUUUGUAUAAUGGGUCAGCGACUUAUAUUUUGUAGCAAGGUUAACUGUGUAAGGGAGCCGUAGGGAAACCGAGUUUUAAAUGAGCGUUAAGUUGCAAAAUAUAGACCCGAAACCCGGUGAUCUAUCCAUGGGCAGAUUGAAGAUUAGGUAAUACUAAUUGAAGGAUCGAACCGACUAAUGUUGAAAAAUUAGCGGAUGACCUGUGGUUAGGGGUGAAAGGCCAAUCAAACCGGGAGAUAGCUGGUUCUCCUCGAAAGCUAUUUAGGUAGCGCCUCAUGAAAUCAUCUUUAGGGGUAGAGCACUGUUUCGGUUAAGGAUCUUACCAGAUUACUAAUCCGAUGCAAACUACGAAUACUAAAGAAUGCUAUCAUGGGAGACACACGCCGGGUGCUAACGUCCGACGUGGAAAGGGAAACAACCCAGACCGACAGCUAAGGUCCCAAAGUUAUAGUUAAGUGGGAAACGAUGUGGAAGGGCUUAGACAACCAGGAUGUUGGCUUAGAAGCAGCCAUCAUUUAAAGAAAGCGUAACAGCUCACUGGUCGAGUCAAUCUGCGCGGAAGAUGUAACGGGGCUAAAUUAUACACCGAAGCUUCGGCAACAAUAAAAUUAUUUUUUGGUUAUUUUUGUUAUAUUACUUUUGUAAUAAAAUAAAAUAAUUUGUUUAUAAAUGAUUUUUUGUUGGGUAGGGGAGCGUUCUGUAAGCCUGUGAAGAUAUAUUGAAAGAUAUGUUGGAGGUAUCAGAAGUGCGAAUGCUGACAUGAGUAACGAUAAAGUGGGUGAAAAACCCACUCGCCGAAAGACUAAGGGUUCCUGUUCAACGUUAAUCGAAGCAGGGUGAGUCGACCCCUAAGGUGAGGCCGAAAGGCGUAAUCGAUGGGAAACGGGUUAAUAUUCCCGUACUUUUAUAUGAUUGCGAUGGGGGGACGGAGAAAGCUAGGUUCGCUGGAUUACGGUUGUUCCAGUUUAAGCGUGUAGAUGAAGAAAGUAGGAAAAUCCGCUUUUUUAUUUUAAACAUUGAGGCGUGACGACGAGCUAUUUUAUAUAGUUAAGGAAUCAAUGCUAUGCUUCCAAGAAAAUCCUCUAAGUGUAAUAUUAUAUUUAAAUCGUACCCUAAACCGACACAGGUAGUCAGGUAGAGUAUACUAAGGCGCUUGAGAGAACUCGGGUGAAGGAACUAGGCAAAAUGGUGCCGUAACUUCGGAAGAAGGCACGCUAGUAGGUAAGUGAGAAGGAUAUCCCUUUUAGCUGAAACUAGUCGCAGAUUCUAGCUGGCUGCAACUGUUUAUUAAAAACACAGCACUGUGCAAACACGAAAGUGGACGUAUACGGUGUGACGCCUGCCCGGUGCCGGAAGGUUAAUUGACGGGGUUAUCAAUUAAUAAGUAUUAUUUUAGUUAUUUGAGAAGCUCUGUAUCGAAGCCCCGGUAAACGGCGGCCGUAACUAUAACGGUCCUAAGGUAGCGAAAUUCCUUGUCGGGUAAGUUCCGACCUGCACGAAUGGCGUAAUGAUGGCCAGACUGUCUCCACCCGAGACUCAGUGAAAUUGAAUUCGCCGUGAAGAUGCGGCGUACCCGCGGUAAGACGGAAAGACCCCGUGAACCUUUACUAUAGCUUGAUAUUGUGCAUUGGGUGUUAAUGUGUAGAAUAGGUGGGAGGCUAUGAAGUGUGAACGCUAGUUUGCAUGGAGCCGUCCAAUGAAAUACCACCCUUUAAUAUUCGAUGUUCUAACUUAGGUCCGUUAUCCGGAUCAAGGACAGUGUCUGGUGGGUAGUUUGACUGGGGCGGUCUCCUCCUAAAGAGUAACGGAGGAGUACAAAGGUUAGCUAAUCACGGUCAGAAAUCGUGAGGUUAGUGUAAAGGCAUAAGCUAGCUUAACUGCGAGAGUGACAACUCAAGCAGGUGCGAAAGCAGGUCUUAGUGAUCCGGUGGUUCUGUAUGGAAGGGCCAUCGCUCAACGGAUAAAAGGUACUCCGGGGAUAACAGGCUGAUACCGCCCAAGAGUUCAUAUCGACGGCGGUGUUUGGCACCUCGAUGUCGGCUCAUCACAUCCUGGGGCUGAAGCAGGUCCCAAGGGUAUGGCUGUUCGCCAUUUAAAGUGGUACGCGAGCUGGGUUUAGAACGUCGUGAGACAGUUCGGUCCCUAUCUACCGUGGGCGUUGGAAGAUUGAGAGGGGCUGCUCCUAGUACGAGAGGACCGGAGUGGACACACCUCUGAUGUUCGGGUUGUUAUACCAAUAGCAUUGCCCGGUAGUUAUGUGUGGGAGAGAUAACCGCUGAAAGCAUCUAAGUGGGAAACUUUCCUCAAGAUGAAUCUUCCCAGAAGUUUUAAUUUUUAAAACUUCCUAAAGGGACGUUAAAGACAAUAACGUUGAUAGGUCGGGUGUGUAAGCGCUGUGAGGCGUUGAGCUAACCGAUACUAAUGACCCGUGAGAACUUAACUU